rnacentral:rRNA from 1 species
CUCCUGCCUAAUAAUAAGAGGUACAUCCUGCCCAGUGAAAUUUUUCAACGGCCGCGGUAUCCUGACCGUGCAAAGGUAGCAUAAUCAUUUGCCUUUUAAUUGAAGGCUAGAAUGAACGGACAAACGAAGUCUCCCCUGUCUCCUAUAGGCCCACGAAAACUAGCUUCCAGGUGAAGAGACCUGAAUCCCACAAAAAGACAAGAAGACCCUAUUGAGUUUCAUUAAAUCGACAAUCCCUUACCCUUCUCUCUGCCAUUUAAUUUAGUUGGGGCGACUAAGGAGUAUAUAUACCCUCCUUCAUCUAUCAGAACCAAUCUUCUAUUUACUUGACCCUCUAACGAUCAACUAAACAAACUACCAUAGGGAUAACAGGCUUAUCUUCUUUGAGAGCUCAUAUUGAUAAGAAGGUCUGGCACCUCGAUGUUGGCUUGGGGCACCCCUUAAAUGCAGAAGUUUAAUAAGGUCAGUUUGUUCAACUGUUAAAGCCCCACGUGAUCAG